CAAAAGAGUGGGGAGAGCUCUGAGUAGCGGUGAUAUACCUAUCGAGCCCAGUUAUAGCUGGUUGUCUGAGAAAUGAAUAGAAGUUCAGCCCUCAUAAAUUUUCCUAACUCAAACCCCAGUUUACCUUGUUUUUACAAAGAAAAAGACUUAAGGAAGUAUGAGGAGUUAGUCAAAAGAGGUUCAGCUCAUUUGACCUUGGAAACAGCCAUUUUAAGUGAUUUAAGAUCAUAAUACUUAAGGACAAUAAUUUUAGUAGGCCUAGAAGCAGCCACCACCCCGAAAGCGUUAAAGCUCAAAUUAAAACAAUCCUCACAUCCCGAACCUUCACACUCUUUUAUCCCUAAAAAUAUCAGACUAAUUUAUUCUAUAAAUGAAAUAAUGUUAAAAUGAGUAAUAAGAAUAAUAUUCUCCCUGCAUAUGUGUAUCUCGGAACGGACCAACCACCGAAUAUUAAUCAGCUCUAUAGAGGAUCUUAAGGUAAUAAUCAAGAAAACCCCUUAGACCUAACUGUUAACCCUACACAGGUAUGCACCUAGGAAAGACUCUAAAGGAGAAGAAGGAACUCGGCAAACCCAAGCCCCGCCUGUUUACCAAAAACAUCGCCUCUCGAUAUCCCAUGAGAGGUCCAGCCUGCCCAGUGACUAUAUGUUAAACGGCCGUGGUAUCUUAACCAUGCUAAGGUAGCGCAAUCACUUGUCUUUUAAAUGAAGACCUGUAUGAAUGGCCUCACGAAGGCUUGACUGUCUCCUUCCCCCAGUCAAUGAAAUUAAACUUCCCGUGCAGAUGCGGGAAUAUGCGUAUAAGACGAGAAGACCCUUUGGAGCUUCAGACCCUAAAUAAGUUAUGUUUAAUAAUCUAAACUCAGUACAAACCUAAUAAUUUUAUUCGAGGGUCUUAGGUUGGGGCGACCACGGAGUAAAAUAAAACCUCCACGAAGAAGAGGCCUCUUUUAGCCUUAAAUCCACGACAAUCCUAUCUAAGAAACAGAAUCUCUGACUUUAUUAGAUCCGGUAAAUAACCGACUAACGAACCAAGUUACCCUAGGGAUAACAGCGCAAUCCUCUCCCAGAGCCCAUAUCGACGAGGGGGUUU
rnacentral:rRNA from 1 species